rnacentral:misc_RNA from 1 species
CAGAGUCGUAAAACACUCCCAACCCAUGUGAACUUACCUUUGUUGCCUCGGCAGGACCUACCCGGUAGUUACCCUGUAGCUACCCUGCAGCCUGCCGGUGGACCAUUCAACUCUUGUUAUUUUAUAGAAAUCUGAGCGUCUUAUUAAAUAAGUCA